GACGAACGCUGGCGGCGCGCUUAACACAUGCAAGUCGAGCGAAGCGGCGGACGGGUGAGUAACACGUGAGUAACCUGCCUUAGACCUUGGGAUAGCCUCGGGAAACCGGGAUUAAUACCAAAUGGUCUAAGAUGGACUCGCGUCCCAUUAGCUAGUUGGUGGGUAACGGCCCACCAAGGCGACGAUGGGUAGCCGGCCGGAGAGGGUGAACGGCGACAUUGGAGCGGAGAAACGGUCCAAACUCUGCGGGAGGCAGCAGUGGGGAAUAUUGCACAAUGGAGGGAACUCUGAUGCAGCGACGCCGGGAGAACGAAGAAGGCGGUCAAGGCGUAAAGUUGUUUUAUAUGGGAAGCGGUACCAGAAGAAAAAGCCCCGGCUAACUACGUGCCAGCAGCCGCGGUAAUUC
rnacentral:rRNA from 1 species